UCCGAUUGAAAUCCGAAAAGUUUGUCAUGAAAUUAUUAAUUUUAAAACGUACAUUGUACCAACUGUAAGGUAGAAAUCUUGAUUUGAUUAGUAUUUAAUGUCAAUAUAAAUAGCUGUCAUGUAUUUUGCGAUUCCCCCAUUUAACUCGCUCGACAAAGUGCACGGUGUUUUCAGAUUGAUAAUACUUUUGGGACCCUCGAUGGUCUGAAAUUCUGUAAAGACAUAUACACUAUACAAAGAAAUAUUGACUGAAGCAUUGACAGAAAUUAAAGAUGGCCGAAUGACUGUUUAUAGAGCUGGUAGACACUACAAAAUACCCAAAAAUAGUGACCGAAUCUGAGGAAAAAGUGGACAAAAAAGUGAAUCCCGAGGAAGAAACACCGUACUUCCGAUGGACUGUUAACCUUGAAAAAAUGUGGAUUUGAAUUGUCAAGAAAAGAAAUGUUGUUGCUUGUUGGACAGUUUGUCAAAGAAUAUAAAUUGAAAACUCCCUUAAAGAUGGAGUACCCGGGGAAGACCUUAAAGAAGGCACAGGAUAUUGAAACUGUAAAUCGAAUUUUACACAAAUUGUCAAAAAGAACAAAAGUCCCUGAAACUUAUAACUUUAUAAGAAACGAAAUUACGUUUAUUGGUUGAUAAAAACAUUUGUAAAUGUGAUUUUCGCUGCAAUAUUAACAGAAAAAAGUUUGGAUUCAGUCCAUUAAUUGCAUGAACUGUGUUUGAGGAAACUUCAACAAAGAAUAAAAAAGCAAUAUAAAUUUGAGAGAUGUCUUCAUGACUGAAUAAAAAUUUGAAAUUUUAUU